UAGACUCUAAGUUAAGAAAACUAGUACCCUUCGAAGGUAAAAUUGAAUUGUUCGAGUCUAG
rnacentral:tRNA from 1 species